GGUUGUGGCUUUUCUAAGCUGUCACUCAUGUCAGGAAGGGCUUUUCAAUGAUACAGCCACUUUUGAGUCAUUCCAGCUGCUGUAAGUUUCCCUCUACCAUCACUCUUGUAAACCCAAUCAAGCCUCCCUGGCUCGCUGAGCUGGACUUUGGUGCAGUCAUUACUUUGAACUUUCGAGGGUUCCCUUUCUGUGACAAGUAGACAUGUGUGUACUGUCUCUCUCUAGGAAAGUCUGUCACAUAAUAGCUGUUUUUUCUUUCCUUCCGUAGAUAUUUGUUAAACACCUACUGCGUGUCAAAUAGUAUGCAGCCACUGGAGAAACAAUUAGAAAUUUAUUCAGCUUUACUCCCAGUCUGGGUCCCUGCCUUUCUGAGUCUCUCCAUCAGAAUGACCUAGAGGAUGCUCAAUAACAGAAGCACAAGCCACCUCUUCUACCAAGUUUGAGUCAUCCCCUUCUGUGCACAAAAUCUGUGCUUGGGGCUGCAGACAGGAAGCAGGACAGAAGCCCAGGGGCUUUGAACUUCUGAGCAGGUCUGGAGAUGUCAGGUUCUUACAAAACAUUGUAACCGCCUCACAUAUGAUUGCCUUGGUUUGACUUCAGCUGGAUUCUCUUGGGACUUUUGUGUUUGAAUGGAAACCUGGCUCAGAAGUGUUUCUCUUUAUGUUUUUCUUUUACUUUGAGGCAUUAGGUUUGGAAUUCACUCAGGACACAGAAUUUUGGCCACACUGAUACUAGUGAGCCACACCCUGAAUUAUCUUCAGGUUCUUAAACACAGAUAAGUACCCAGACAUUCCUACAAUAAACACAUUAUGGCUUUAGAACAACUAUGACUCCUAUACUAAAGACUGAAAUACACAGCAUACAAAACCAGAGAAGAAGGGACGGGGGAGUAAUUUUUUCCUGUAGUGUAGCCAAUGAUAAGUUACCCAUGAUCCAAUAAAUGACUCCAUACCCACGCUCACCAGAGCAAUCCUGAUAAAACUCGAGGAGUCAUUAAUCAAAACAAACAAACAAACACAUAAAACAAACAUGACAUUCUCAGUGAGACGAUCCCAAGUGAGGAUGUGCCUUACCCUUCGAGAUAUGGUCUUCUAGAAAUAAAAAUAUGUCAUAUACUCUACUGAAAUAUGUAUCUCUUAGAAAUGUCUUGUGUGCUCUGUCAUCUCCAGCUGAUGGGAACAGUAAGGAAAGCGUGAGCAUAAGAAAGCCAAAAGAAACACAACCACAAGCACCCAGUAAAGAUCCAGUACUGAAGAGAGGUGAGGAGACAAGACAGUCUAGUUUGAAGAUAAACCUCCCAAAAAUGUAACAGCUACACCGCAAUCCUUUAAUUAAGGAUACACGUUUUAUUCCUAAAUAAGACUGAUGAACCAGCCUGCUUUCAUAUUGGGUUUGAAAGCUAUCUUAUCGUAGAAACAAAUGAGUUUCAUUCCUGCUUAUGAUUGCCCCAUCUGCAACCUUAACUACAAAUGGUUCUGAACUUCCUGCUCCAGGAAUGGCAGUCUUGUCUUUGUUCCACACCGUUAUUGUGACCACCUGUGCUUAUGACCAACUGUUUUAGGACUACCUUAUGACCAUCUUGCAAUCAUGCUUUUAUUUCAGAAGUCCAUUAUGACUAACUUGUUAUGCUUUAAAUUCUGUUUCUGUAAUUCCAUCUAUUUGUCUGCCAAAUCUCCCAUUUGGAAACUGCCUACCCCGGAGAUUUAAAACUCUUAUCAUGUCCACAUCAAAUUCUGACAUCUUGAACCACACCACAGGGGAAGAUAGCUUGUAUACGUGAAUUAAAGAAACUUGCUCUAACUAACUGCAUGCUUUAAUUAAUUUAGCCAUGAUGAUUUGAGUCAAUGGCCUUUCUCCUUGCAACUUUGGGAUUAACAAGACAACAUAACAAUAGCUAACAGAGAAGCCUAUGAGGAAAUACAAUGACCCCCAAAAUGAGUUAUCUUGAAGCAGAUGAGAUGAAGAAGUGAGGACUUAGAAAGUAGGAGGUAAGGAAGUAAGUGGUACCAAAAAUAGUAGCAUUGCUUGGAGUCAUUAUGAAGAGUCUAUGAUUUCACUGGAUGGGAAGAUCAUAGAUUCAGGUAGGAAAUACGAGGAGCCAUCGGCAAGACUGUGAAGUAAGGUACUGUAAGGAACACGACAAAGACAUGAAAACCAAGCUUAGAGUGUGCAUGAGUGUGAUAAUGUAACCAUGGAACAAAGCCUAGGGUGUGUGAGUGAGUGUGAUAAAGUUGAAGUAAAGUGUGAACGCUUUAAUUAUGAUUAGUUCAAAAUAGUUUAAAAACCACCCAUCUGGCACUGCGACUCGAUUGCUCCUGGAGCCCUACGGAGAUGCUGAGAGUCCACCAACCCGGACGCCUGCCGACAAACGAGAUGAGCCCUCACUGUGGGCCGUGCUCCAGCUAGACCCGAAAACAGAAGGAAACGUCGCAAUGCGCAGGCCAUCAAGCCAGGAUAUGACAUUGGGCCAAACUGGAGCCUACCUGAGAGCAGAUGUAGUGGGUAUUCUGGUUGUCAACUUGACUCUAUCUGGAAUGAACUACAAUCCAGAAUUGGAGGCUCACCUGUGAUCCGAAUCUGGAGUCUAGGAGAUACAAGUUUCUGACCUGGAUCUUGGCGUGGAGAGCUUGAGUCAUAGUGGCUAUGAAUUCCAGAAGAUUAAGACAGGGAGAUCUCCGAGUUCAAGAUCAUCUGGGAUUAAAGGCGUGGUGGUACACACCUUUAAUCUGGGCCACACCUUCUGCUGGAGACCUACAUAAGGACAUUGGAAGAAGGAAGAUUCACUCUCUUCUUCACCUGCUUGCCUUGUGGGACUGAGCAACUGCUAGAUCCUUAAACUUCCAUUCACAGCUGCUACUGACCAUUGUUGGGAGUUGGACUACAAACUGUAAGUCAUCAACAAAUUCCCUUACUAUAUAGAGACUACCUGUAAGCUCUGUGACUCUAGAGAACCCUGAUUAAUACAGAAGUCUAGAACUGCA